ACAAAGUGUGCCCACCAUUUUACUAGCAUGGUGUUUAUUAUUUUAUUAAGUUGACAACGUAUGUGAAUUCUUUUUUCAAAUUAUGGUCACUUGCUAUCGAUAAGUCUUCUUUUUUUUUGUACUGAAAAAUUGAUAUUUAUAGACCAGGCUGAUUUUGGACAAAAAGGUGUGAAGUAAUAUCGUACAAAUGCCUGUUCUGUUGAAUUGAAGUCACACCAUGCAAUUAUAAUUUAUUAUGUCCGAAACAGUCAUGUGUUGGUUUUAUUUUGUGUAUUUCAAACAUAAGACACAAAAACAAUCUGCAGAAGACAUCGAUCAUGAUAAAUUAGUUACGCUCUAAACAGACCUAUAUGUGUAUGACUAUCUUCGUCAUAUGUCCUGGUUGUUUUAUUAUUAUUUUGUCACAAUUUAACGUUUUAGUUUUUAACACCAUCUAUCAGCAUCAAUUUGAACAGGUUUUUCAUUAGUUUAAAAUUUGCUCUCGAAAAAAAAUGACGUUAACAUGGUUAAAUUUCAAAAAUUAAGUUUCCGAUAUUUCGAAUGCCAAAAACAACUCUAAUAGUGAGAUAGAAGAAAGAUACCAAAGGGACAUUAAAACUCAUAUGUCGAAAAUAAACCGACAACACCAUGCAAAUGGAUACAAAAGAAAAAGACUAACUGACAAACAAUAGUACACGAAACACAACAUGGAAAACUAACCUAGAUAGAUUUUUAAAACAUAAGAUGACUUCGCUACGUCGCGUUAUUCAGCCGUUAAACUUUUCCUCAAAAUUUCUUUGACAAACUCUGCAGAGCAUACCACCUAAUUGAAAACAAUAUUAGGGGAAGAUACUCCUGCAUUUGUUAAUUUAUCUGCUGUUAAUGAUAUCCAUUCAGGUUUUUAGUUAAGCAUCAAUGUCAAUAAAUGUGAACUGGUUUAUAUACUGAUAAUACGAACAUAAACGGUUUUACACUAGUAAUUUUUGGGGCUCUUUAUAGCUUGUUGUUCGGUGUGAGCCAAGGCUCCGUGUUGAAGGCCGUACCUUGACCUAUAAUGAUUUACUUUUAUAAAUUGUUAUUUGGAUGGAGAGUUGUCUCAUUGGCACUCAUAACACAUCUUCCUAUAUUUAUGUACGAACUCGUAAAUAAUAACUAUGAGCUAAACUGGUUUUUACUACCGUUUGCAAUAAUACAUUUCAAAAUUGCUAAUUUCUAAACAUGCCACUUUAAUAAUUUUGGAAUUUGGAUGAAACAAUUGUAAACAGUACAAUGCUAAUGCAUUAUAGAAACC
rnacentral:lncRNA from 1 species